GUGGUUAAAUUAGUAAGGGCGCAUGGUGGAUGCCUUGGCACUAGAAGCUGAAGAAGGACGUGACAAACAACGAUAUGCUUCGGGGAGUAGUAAGUAUACUUUGAUCCGGAGAUUUCCGAAUGGGGGAACCCACUAGUAAGAAACUACUAGUAUCAUAAAGCGAAUACAUAACUUUAUAGAGAGCAACCCGGUGAACUGAAACAUCUAAGUAACCGGAGGAGAAGAAAGAAAGCAAUCGAUUCCCUAAGUAGUGGCGAGCGAAAGGGGAACAGCCCAAACCAAUCUUCGGAUUGGGGUUAAAGGACUCCAUAAGUAGAGAAGAAAGUCUUAAUAUAGUUGAAGUCGUUGGGAAGCGAUACCGGAGAAGGUGAUAGUCCUGUAGGCGAAAUAUUAAGAACUCGAAGGAGAAUCCUGAGUACAAUGGGACACGAGAAAUCCUGUUGGAAGUAACGGGGACCAUCCCGUAAGGCUAAAUACUCUCUAGUGACCGAUAGUGAACAAGUACCGUGAGGGAAAGGUGAAAAGAACCCCGGGAGGGGAGUGAAAUAGAAUACUGAAACCAUGUGCUUACAAGAAGUCAAAGCACAUUAAAGUGUAAUGGCGUGCCUUUUGCAGAAUGAACCGGCGAGUUAAUGUUGCAUGCGAGGUUAAGUAGAAGAUACGGAGCCGAAGCGAAAGCGAGUCUUAAUAGGGCGAGUUAGUAUGUAGUAUUAGACCCGAAACCGAGUGAUCUAGCCAUGAGCAGAUUGAAGUUUGGGUAAAACCAAAUGGAGGAUCGUACCGACGUACCCGGAAACGUGCGCGGAUGACUUGUGGCUAGCGGUGAAAUUCCAAUCGAACUCGGAUAUAGCUGGUUCUCCCCGAAAUAGGUUUAGGCCUAGCCUCGAGGUAGAGAUAUGUGAAGGUAGAGCACUGAAUGUCCGAUGGCCCCGUCUAGGGGUACUGAAUGCAAUCAAACUCCGAAUGUCAUGUAUUAUACUCGGGAGUCAGCGUGCGGGUGAUAACGUCCGUACGCGAAAGGAAAAGAGUCCAAGAUCGCCAAUUAAGGUCCCAAAAUCUGUACUAAGUGGGAAAGGAUGUGGAGUUGUCAAAACAGCUAGGAGGUUGGCU
rnacentral:rRNA from 1 species